UGAACGCUAGCGGCAGGCUUAACACAUGCAAGUCGAGGGGCAGCAUGAUGAAACUUUCGGGUUUCAUUGAUGGCGACCGGCGCAAGGGUGCGUAACGCGUGAGCAACUUGCCCUUAUCAGGGGAAUAACCGGUGGAAACGCCGACUAAUACCCCAUAGCAUCACUUUAAGGCAUCUUUUAGUGAUUAAAGAAUUUCGGAAACGGAUAGGCUCGCGUGACAUUAGCUAGAUGGCGGGGUAACGGCCCACCAUGGCGACGAUGUCUAGGGGUUCUGAGAGGAAGGUCCCCCACACUGGAACUGAGACACGGUCCAGACUCCUACGGGAGGCAGCAGUGAGGAAUAUUGGUCAAUGGUCUGACGACUGAACCAGCCAUGCCGCGUGAAGGUCACGGCCCUAUGGGUCUUAAACUUCUUUUGCAAGGGAGCAAUAAGGUCUACGUGUAGAUCGAUGAGAGUACCUUGCGAAUAAGCAUCGGCUAACUCCGUG
rnacentral:rRNA from 1 species